UACGUAGGGGGCAAGCGUUAUCCGGAUUUACUGGGUGUAAAGGGAGCGUAGACGGCAUGGCAAGCCAGAUGUGAAAUACCGGGGCUCAACCAUUGUAUGCAUUGGAAACUGGUAGACUUGAGUGCAGGAGAGGAGAGUGGAAUUCCAUGUGUAGCGGUGAAAUGCGUAGAUAUAUGGAGGAACACCGGUGGCGAAAGCGGCUCUCUGGCCUGUAACUGACACUGAGGCUCGAAAGCGUGGGGAGCAAACAGG
rnacentral:rRNA from 1 species